rnacentral:rRNA from 1 species
GUGGGGAAUUUUUGUCAAUGGGGGAAACCCUGAACAAGCAACGCCGCGUGAAGGACGAAGACCUUCGGGUUGUAAACUUCUGUCGGAGGGGACGAAAGCGGUCGAGGCUAAUAUCCUCGGCCGUCGACGGUACCCUACGAGGAAGCCCCGGCUAACUCCGUGCCAGCAGCCGCGGUAAUACGGGGGGGGCAAGCGUUGUUCGGAAUUACUGGGCGUAAAGGGCGCGUAGGCGGGUGUGCAAGUCUCUCGUGAAAGCCCACGGCUCAACCGUGGAAUUGCGGGAGAUACUGCACGUCUUGAGUCCGGGAGAGGAGGGUGGAAUUCCCAGUGUAGCGGUGAAAUGCGUAGAUAUUGGGAGGAACACCGGUGGCGAAGGCGGCUCUCUGGACCGGUACUGACGCUGAGGCGCGAAAGCUAGGGGAGCAAACGGGAUUAGAAACCCUAGUAGUCC